CAUGCAGUCGAGCGAGCUCUUCGGAGCUAGCGGCGGACGGGUUAGUAACGCGUGGGAACGUGCCCUUCACUGCGGAAUAGCCACUGGAAACGGUGAGUAAUACCGCAUACGCCCUUCGGGGGAAAGAUUUAUCGGUGAAGGAUCGGCCCGCGUUAGAUUAGAUAGUUGGUGGGGUAACGGCCUACCAAGUCUACGAUCUAUAGCUGGUUUUAGAGGAUGAUCAGCAACACUGGGACUGAGACACGGCCCAGACUCCUACGGGAGGCAGCAGUGGGGAAUCUUGGACAAUGGGCGCAAGCCUGAUCCAGCCAUGCCGCGUGAGUGAUGAAGGCCUUAGGGUCGUAAAGCUCUUUCGCCAGAGAUGAUAAUGACAGUAUCUGGUAAAGAAACCCCGGCUAACUCCGUGCCAGCAGCCGCGGUAAUACGGAGGGGGUUAGCGUUGUUCGGAAUUACUGGGCGUAAAGCGCACGUAGGCGGAUCAGAAAGUUGGGGGUGAAAUCCCGGGGCUCAACCCCGGAACUGCCUCCAAAACUCCUGGUCUUGAGUUCGAGAGAGGUGAGUGGAAUUCCGAGUGUAGAGGUGAAAUUCGUAGAUAUUCGGAGGAACACCAGUGGCGAAGGCGGCUCACUGGCUCGAUACUGACGCUGAGGUGCGAAAGUGUGGGGAGCAAACAGGAUUAGAUACCCUGGUAGUCCACACCGUAGA
rnacentral:rRNA from 1 species